rnacentral:tRNA from 1 species
UUUCUUAUAGUGUAAACAACACAUUACAUUUUCAUUGUAAAUAUGAAGACAACUAACUACUUCUAAGAAAU